rnacentral:rRNA from 1 species
GGUGCAUUGCUGGGUAGCUACGUUGGGCAGAGAUAAGCGCUGAAAGCAUCUAAGUGCGAAACUCCCCUCGAGAUGAGACUUCCUUUAAGGGACGUUAUAGAUGAUGACGUUGAUAGGCUGCAGGUGUAAAGGCAGAAAUGUCAUAGCUGAGCAGUACUAAUUACCCGUAGACUUUCCGUA